rnacentral:lncRNA from 1 species
AGGGAAAUAUUUAGAAAUGCAGAUAAAGAUUUAUGAAUAGUGGUAUUUAUGACAGUAUUACUAUAAGUAAGAAAUGACCCAGAUGUCCACCUUGGAUAAUUAAAGUAAGAUAUAUCUAUAUGAGGAAAUAUUAUGCAACCAUUGAAAUGUUUGUGAAGAGAGUUUUAUGAACUACCCAGUGAUAUGAUUUUUAAGCAAAAGUAAAAUAUAAAAUUGUAUAUAACGAAUGACCUCAAGCAUUAGAAAACACAGACAAAUAAGGCUGCAAUAAAUUAUGCCUAUUUGUUAAGAGUAGUUAUUUCUGAUGAGUGAGAUGACGUAUUUUCCAAUUUUUCUAUUGUAAAAAGUGGAUUAAUAUUCAAUGUCAAUAUUUAAUUAAAAUCAAUACAUAACUUUAAAAAGAUUGCUAUCACAACGUUUCUCUGCAAAACCGAAUAGAUGACCAAUACUCGCCCUGAAGACAUCCCAGAGUGGGGCUGAAGAAGGCUCCGCCGAAACUUGCUGCCGAUGCCCGGCCUGGCUUGAAGAGGUGAUUAGAGUUGCCGCCUGUAAAGCAGUUAAAGGACACCAUAAAAAUUCAGGGUGAAGCCAGAUGGGAGAGCUGGACUACAAGGGGGGCAGCCCCCGCAGCUGAGCGUGCUCAGUGAAGAUUCCUGGAGCAAGUGGUCACUCCAAUAAAGUUUCUGAUUCUGUCCA